rnacentral:rRNA from 1 species
ACGCUAGCUACAGGCUUAACACAUGCAAGUCGAGGGGAAACGGCAUUAAGUGCUUGCACUUUUUGGACGUCGACCGGCGCACGGGUGAGUAACGCGUAUCCAACCUUCCCAUGACUAAGGGAUAACCUGCCGAAAGGCAGACUAAUACCUUAUGGUCUUCACUGACGGCAUCAGAUGUGAAGUAAAGAUUUAUCGGUUAUGGAUGGGGAUGCGUCUGAUUAGCUUGUUGGCGGGGUAACGGCCCACCAAGGCAACGAUCAGUAGGGGUUCUGAGAGGAAGGUCCCCCACAUUGGAACUGAGACACGGUCCAAACUCCUACGGGAGGCAGCAGUGAGGAAUAUUGGUCAAUGGGCGAGAGCCUGAACCAGCCAAGUAGCGUGCAGGAUGACGGCCCUAUGGGUUGUAAACUGCUUUUGUAUGGGGAUAAAGUCAAUCACGUGUGAUUGUUUGCAGGUACCAUACGAAUAAGGACCGGCUAAUUCCGUGCCAGCAGCCGCGGUAAUACGGAAGGUCCGGGCGUUAUCCGGAUUUAUUGGGUUUAAAGGGAGCGUAGGCUGGAGAUUAAGUGUGUUGUGAAAUGUAGACGCUCAACGUCUGACUUGCAGCGCAUACUGGUUUCCUUGAGUACGCACAACGUUGGCGGAAUUCGUCGUGUAGCGGUGAAAUGCUUAGAUAUGACGAAGAACUCCGAUUGCGAAGGCAGCUGACGGGAGCGCAACUGACGCUGAAGCUCGAAGGUGCGGGUAUCGAACAGGAUUAGAUACCCUGGUAGUCCGCACAGUAAACGAUGGAUGCCCGCUGUUGGUACCUGGUAUCAGCGGCUAAGCGAAAGCAUUAAGCAUCCCACCUGGGGAGUACGCCGGCAACGGUGAAACUCAAAGGGAAUUGACGGGGGCCCGCACAAGCGGAGGAACAUGUGGUUUAA